rnacentral:lncRNA from 1 species
CUUUGGUUCGUGAUCAGAAACUCCAGUGCUGUCCAGCGGCCGGAUGGGACAAUGAUAACCAUUUACAAGUUGAUGGCAGCUGCCCAAGAUAUCUGUUUGACAGAAAUAAUGGGGAUCAUCGGUUUGCAUGGAGAAAUGCUAAGUGGCCUUGGUAUUAAAAAAUAUGUGUAAGACUCAUGUUUUCUGGUCUGAUUUAAGGAGAUGCAUCAUUCAAUGGCCUUCUAUUAAUUACAAUCUGUUACCGAUAUAUAUCGAUAUAUGACAGAACUUUAUGUUUGACUUAUAAAAUCGAUCCAUCAUUUUGGCCAAUUCUACCUCAAUAGUUUGCAUAAUUUGUGAAAUUAAAGAAAUUGAUCAUUCCGUCUUUGCAUUGAAAACAUAUAAAUGCCCCUCUAUUGUCUUUUUUUUCCAGGCACUGAAGCUAUGGUGGAAAAAUGUUGCAUUUAUUCAACAUCCAAGGUAUACUAAUCCACUAUAUAGGAAGGAAGCUUUGGUUCGUGAUCAGAAACUCCAGUGCUGUCCAGCGGCCGGAUGGGACAAUGAUAACCAUUUACAAGUUGAUGGCAACUGCCCAAGAUAUCUGUUUGACAGAAAUAAUGGGGAUCAUCGGUUCGCAUGGAGAAGUGCUAAGUGGCCUUGGUGUUAAAAAAUAUGUGUAAGACUCAUGUUUUCUGGUCUGAUUUAAGGAGAUGCAUCAUUCAAUGGCCUUCUAUUCCAUACAAUCUGUUACCGAUAUAUGUGUGGUUUGCCACAU